rnacentral:rRNA from 1 species
ACACGCAUGACACACUGCAUAUCAAUAAGCGGAGGAAAAGAAACUAACAAGGAUUCCCUUAGUAACGGCGAGUGAAGCGGGAAGAGCUCAAAUUUGAAAUCUUAAAGGGUUUCCCUUUACGAAUUGUAGUUUAAAGAAGUGUUUUCUGUUGGAGUUUCGGUAAAAGUUCUUUGGAAUAGGACAUCACUAGAGGGUGAGAAUCCCGUAUUUGACCAUUAUUUUCAGCUGUGUGAUACACUUUCAAAGAGUCGGAUUGUUUGGGAAUGCAGUCCAAAAUGGGUGGUAAAUUUCAUCUAAAGCUAAAUAUUGGCGAGAGACCGAUAGCGAACAAGUACCGUGAGGGAAAGAUGAAAAGAACUUUGAAAAGAGAGUUAAACAGUACGUGAAAUUGUCAAAAGGGAAGCGUUUGACACCAGUGUUGUUUUCUCGAAAAUCAAUUAAAAAAGGCCGGAUUUUGUGUUGUAUUGACCUUAAAAGCUUUCUUCACUCUUUUCUUGUCUUUUUUAAUGCACUUUUCGUUUAACAAGUCAACAUCAGUUUCUUUUGUUGUAAAAGGGUAUGAGGAAGGUGGCUUUCUUUUCGGAGAAAGUGUUUAUAGCCUUUGAUCCCUGCAAUCGGAGAGACUGAGGUCUGCAGCGUAGAUCCUUCGGGGUUAGAUACAUUUGUGCUAAGUUAUAGCUUUUUAUAGACAACUUGUUGACUAUAUUUAGUCUUGUAGCUUACUCGCUUAUGCUAUUUUACCUACGCUUAGGAUGUUGAGCGCAUGUCUCUCUCU